AAGGCGUUAGAGAUAAUCGCGUGAAUUUCACGAGGAAAGUCCGGACUCCGUAGGGCGAUGAGGACAGUUAAUGGCUGUUGAGAGAAAUCUUAAGGAAAGUGCCACAGAAAAUAGACCGCCGAAAGGUAAGGGUGAAAAGGUGGUGUAAGAGACCACCAGUGGCUUAGGAAACUAAGUUAGCUUGGUAAACCCCCUCUGGAGCAAGACCAAGUGAAACCAUAAAAGAGGCUGCCCGUCUUGGUUUAAUGGUAGGUUGCUGGAAUUAUUAAGCAAUUAAUAAUCUAGAUAAAUGAUUAUCAAAUACAUAAUCCGGCUUAUACUAACGCCUAUAAU
rnacentral:RNase_P_RNA from 1 species